UACGUAGGGUGCGAGCGUUAAUCGGAAUUACUGGGCGUAAAGCGUGCGUAGGCGGUUCGUUAAGUUCGUUGUGAAAGCCCCGGGCUCAACCUGGGAACUGCAAUGGAAACUGGCGGGCUUGAGUGUGGCAGAGGGGGGUGGAAUUCCGCGUGUAGCAGUGAAAUGCGCAGAUAUCGGGAGGAACACCGGUGGCGAAGGCGGUUCUCUGGGCCUUACCUGACGCUGAGGAGCGAAAGCGUGGGGAGCGAACAGG
rnacentral:rRNA from 1 species